GGGUGCGAUCAUACCAGCACUAAUGCACCGGAUCCUAUUAGAACUUCGCAGUUAAGCGGGCUUGGGCGAGAGUAGUACUAGGAUGGGUGACCUCCUGGGAAGUCCUCGUGUUGCACCCC
rnacentral:rRNA from 1 species